ACGACCACGGGAACGAAGGAGCUGCUGGAUUUUUCAGUGCAGCUGCGAUCCGAAAACUAACGCUGCCCAGACUCGGUCCGUGAAAAUACAGCCGUUUGCUGUUUGUGAUACGCGUUCGAAACGUAAUUGCUGCCGCCGAAACUGUCCGGUUGAGUGUGCCAUCGUUGGUCGGUUGUGUGGUUGCCUAGUGUGUGAGUUUGGUUUAUUUUCGGGGAGUUAGCAGCGGGAACGCGGGCACCUCCCUUUGCCACGGUAGAGCUGAAGUCAUCGCCGUUUGGUCAAAGUCUGCUGACUGGAUGUAAAGCCAGCGUACGCUCUAAGUACUCGUUCCGGGUAGUUUCUCCGGAUUUUGGCUGUCUGAAGACCAGCCGCACCACAGCAUCAAAGCUAGCCAGUAUCGUUUGGCGUAAAACAUCUGCCAGUGUGCUGCACAUCGAAAAGGCUUAUCACAAUGGAUAAAAGAAAAUUAUCUACAUCCGGGGACACCCUGUACCUAACGUUGGGACUGCCCAAAACGGCCACCGCCGAUGAGAUCAAGAAAACGUACCGAAAACUGGCCCUAAAGUACCACCCAGACAAGAACCCGAACAACCCAGAAGCAGCGGACAAGUUCAAAGAGGUCAAUCGAGCCCAUUCCAUACUGAGUGAUUUGACGAAGCGAAACAUCUACGAUAACUAUGGGUCACUUGGACUGUACAUUGCGGAGCAGUUUGGCGAGGAAAAUGUCAAUGCUUACUUCGUCGUUACUUCGCCUACCUGCAAGGCGUUGUUUAUGAUUUGCGGUAUUAUUACGGGAUGUUACUGCUGCUGCUGCUGUUGCUGCUGCUGUAACUUCUGCUGCGGAAAGUACAAACCCGUACCGCCGGAGAACGCUGGCGAUUAUCAUCAUCUGCACAGAGAUGGUGCCAGUAGUAGCAACGCAGGGGAAGGAUCGGCCGUCACAGAACAGCCAUCGCGAAGAGAGGACCUGGCAGAUCUGGAGGACAACGGUGGCGGCAGUGGCGGCGGUAACCCGGUAACGGCACAACCGCAAGCCGGCCAGGCACAGGGUGCCGGCAUGCCGGUGUACGCGAUGCCUCCGCCAUCGGCCAAUCCGACCAAUCCGUUCACCGGGUCGGCCGCGACCGAGAGCACGGGCCUGAAGACGGCCAAUCAACCGGUGUACACACCUGGACACUAAAAUGCAUUUCGGAGCACCCGGUUCGCGCGGUACCACGUGGCUUCUCACGUUCAGACAAAACCAAAACAAACAUAAAAUGGAGAUUUGCUCCAGUUUUGAAGCUUUCCCCCACGGCAAUCGCGAGGGCGCGCUCUCGUCUGAUCGGAACGCGAUCAUCAUCCCUCCUCCGUGCCACGAUCGGCAACAGCACGCACUGUCGUCGUUGUUGUUGCUGUUGUUGUUAUUAAGUUAUGCGCUCCUUGGUCAUCGUCCCCUUUUACACCCAUCAACACCGUUCUUCGGGGCUCUCGAAUCCUACCAAUUGAUGGCAUGUAGCCCCUCGCGCCGUGUACAAUCGCCGUAUGAAGUGAAGCUGUUAAUCGUCGCCAUUAAUCAUAAUGUUGUGUGUUUGUGGUUCUCGUCGUGCACACGCUCGGCGGGUGUGCCCGGUCCGAAACUCGCUUCGCUCGCCGCCGCCACUCGCAGUGUAACCUAUAUCACUCGUGCAGCGGAUUGCACGAAACGUUGGACAAGAAAACCAGACAUACAAUGUAUUGUAACAAUAAUAACAAAUCGUAAUACUAGCGCAGAGAGCAAGAUAGAGAGCGAGAGAGCGAUAGAGUUUGUGUGUGCGUGGAGGAUGUUAAGAACAAUCGAGAGAAUACAGCGAGAGAGAGCCGAGGAGAUAUAUCUGUUUUAAGAAAUAUUUAUACGUUUAACGAUUGAGCAAAACAAAAUGCGUGUCCCGGCACCAGUUCCUCUUUAUAUCUCUCUUCUUGUGAGAUAUUUUGCACACAGAUAUGCACUUCACCCCAACACAAGCGUGGGGCUUUAGUCGAUCGUGUGUGUGUGUUUUUGUCUUUUUCGAUCGUGUGGUGUGUGGUGGUAGACAAAAAUCAAAAUUAAACUCCUUAUCACAUCAUCAUGUGUUUUUGCUGUUACUACUAGAAAAGUACCAAUAGAGAGAGAACGGUCCGCCGAGCACCGUGCGUGGAACUGUGCCCCGGGGACGUUUUGUUUUAAUUGAACACACAUCCGAUGGGCGGAUCGGGUUCGGAUGGAAUUGCUGUGUGUGGUGGUAUCCUCCGGGAGCACUGAUUAAAGUUGAAAUGAGCGCGAACAUUAGCAAAGUAGAUGGAAACGGUUCGGAAAAGACACCUAUUGGAACGGAAACACCGAAGACAUGAAUUGCAAUGGAAACCGAAACCGCAAAUAACGUGAGGCAUAGCGGGAGAGCCAGAGAGAGAGAAGAUAGGUUAAGUUGGCAACGAUCAACAAUAAACAACAAACUCCGUUUCACGCCCUCAUUUAUUGAGUGUUCAGAUUCAGACUUGAGAUUUUUGCAAUUCAUAUUCGCUUCAAUUUCGGGACAACGAGCAGCAGGAGCAUUAAGUUUACGUCGUCCGGGACGGACCUGCUAGGCCGGCGAAGAGAGCCAAACAAAGGGGACGUCACACGUAGGCUUGUUAUGUUUUGUGUAGCAUCUCUUGUAUCUCCUCAGCGUGGCAGAGAAACCCAAAUCACAUCCCGCUCCAAGGAUGGACACAAAUUAAACAAAGAACAAUACACAUAUAUAUACACACACACAAAAAUUCAUAUAUCUUAUAUCCAUUUAUCCCGAAUUUCCAAAGCAUUCGAAGCAGGGUCGGGAUCGAGAAGCCUCACCCGGCAUUGUUAGCGGCAUUGUCUGUGUUGUUGUUGGUGUUCUCUCUAGGCGUGUGUGUUAGGCGUACAAGAUGUGUAACUCAGAAUUCAUAAGGCGUACCUAACGAGAGGUAGGAAGACUCAUGGAACGACAUCAUCCGACCGCUGUUGGGAGGCGAAGGAAAACACGCGUCAAAAGGACGACGACACGCGCGGACACGAUGCGAAGCCCGUACAAUUUAAAUACUGUAAAAAUACGCGUACACGAAGGAGCGCAGCACCAACGGCGGCGCGUGGUGACGUGUGCCGGCCGGAAACCCGGCGAACCUCAAUUUCCAAAACAAUUCACGGCGCGCCGACGACGUGUUACGAUAACCCCGAUUCUCUAACUCUAACGAAUGUAAUAAUAAACAAAUCCUAAGACCUGAACGACGAAACAUUCAUUGCCACACGUACGUGUUAUGCAAAACAAUCCAACCCAAA